rfam:Pseudohongiella spirulinae strain KCTC 32221, complete genome.
GCGGACGUGGUGGAAUUGGUAGACACGCUGGAUUUAGGUUCCAGUGCCGCAAGGUGUGAGAGUUCGAGUCUCUCCGUCCGCA